rnacentral:lncRNA from 1 species
CUUGCACAUUAUUCGUCGUGUCGCAUCGGUAGAAGCCCUCCUGGCUUUGUCCCGAGGUUAGAGCUCGGGCCUUUCAUUUAUUGCACUUAUUUGCACAGUAUUCGUCGUGUCGCAUCAGUAGAAGCCCGCUUGGCUUUGUCCCGAGGUUAGAGCUCGGGCAUUUCAUUUAUUGCACUUAUUUGCACAGUAGGUGUCGCAUCGGUAGAAGCCCGCUUGGCUUUGCCCCGAGGAGUAGAACUCGGGCCUUUCAUUUAUUGCACU